rnacentral:rRNA from 1 species
GUGAGGGGAGUGAAAUAGAACCUGAAACCGUGUACGUACAAGCAGUAGGAGCACCUUCGUGGUGUGACUGCGUACCUUUUGUAUAAUGGGUCAGCGACUUAUAUUCAGUGGCAAGGUUAACCGUAUAGGGGAGCCGUAGCGAAAGCGAGUCUUAACUGGGCGUUCAGUCUCUGGAUAUAGACCCGAAACCGGGUGAUCUAGCCAUGGGCAGGUUGAAGGUUGAGUAACAUCAACUGGAGGACCGAACCGACUAAUGUUGAAAAAUUAGCGGAUGACUUGUGGCUAGGGGUGAAAGGCCAAUCAAACUCGGAGAUAGCUGGUUCUCCCCGAAAGCUAUUUAGGUAGCGCCUCGGACGAAUACUACUGGGGGUAGAGCACUGUUAAGGCUAGGGGGUCAUCCCGACUUACCAACCCUUUGCAAACUCCGAAUACCAGUAAGUACUAUCCGGGAGACACACGGCGGGUGCUAACGUCCGUCGUGGAGAGGGAAACAACCCAGACCGCCAGCUAAGGUCCCAAAGUAUUGCUAAGUGGGAAACGAUGUGGGAAGGCUCAGACAGCUAGGAUGUUGGCUUAGAAGCAGCCAUCAUUUAAAGAAAGCGUAAUAGCUCACUAGUCGAGUCGGCCUGCGCGGAAGAUGUAACGGGGCUAAGCAAUACACCGAAGCUGCGGCAAUAUCUUUUAGAUAUUGGGUAGGGGAGCGUUCUGUAAGCCGUUGAAGGUGAAUCGUAAGGUUUGCUGGAGGUAUCAGAAGUGCGAAUGCUGACAUGAGUAACGACAAAGGGGGUGAAAAACCUCCUCGCCGGAAGACCAAGGGUUCCUGUCCAACGUUAAUCGGGGCAGGGUGAGUCGACCCCUAAGGUGAGGCCGAAAGGCGUAAUCGAUGGGAAACGGGUUAAUAUUCCCGUACUUCUGACUAUUGCGAUGGGGGGACGGAGAAGGCUAGGUGGGCCAGGCGACGGUUGUCCUGGUUCAAGUGCGUAGGCUUGAGAGUUAGGUAAAUCCGGCUCUCUCUAAGGCUGAGACACGACGUCGAGCUGCUACGGCAGUGAAGUCAUUGAUGCCAUGCUUCCAGGAAAAGCCUCUAAGCUUCAGAUAGUCAGGAAUCGUACCCCAAACCGACACAGGUGGUCGGGUAGAGAAUACCAAGGCGCUUGAGAGAACUCGGGUGAAGGAACUAGGCAAAAUGGUACCGUAACUUCGGGAGAAGGUACGCUCUUGAUGGUGAAGUCCCUCGCGGAUGGAGCUGACGAGAGUCGCAGAUACCAGGUGGCUGCAACUGUUUAUUAAAAACACAGCACUGUGCAAAAUCGCAAGAUGACGUAUACGGUGUGACGCCUGCCCGGUGCCGGAAGGUUAAUUGAUGGGGU